AGGUCCUUGACAAAUUCUAUUCUGCCCAGAAUGCUCUUCCCUCAGUUCUGUCAAAUCUUUCAGGAAUCAGUUUAAAUAUAACCUCUCCUGACCAUCCUAUCUCAAGUCGAUUUCCCCUAUUAUUGUCUUGGCACUGUUUGAUUCCUUCAUAGUAAUUGCAAUAAUGAAAACAAAAUUUAUUUAUUUGUUUUAAACUAACGUCUCUGUUUGAAGCAGGCAGCUACGAGGUAUGUUUUAGCCAACACUGUAUAUCCUGCACUUACUAGGGCACCAAGUAGUUAAUGUUUCAGUUGAAUGCAAAACUCACUGCACUUAUUUUGUGAUUUAAAACAAUCCCCCUCAAGAAAUUGAGCUCUUUUCAAGUUAGGAUUGUGUUUUCAUUUUUAAUUUUUGAACUGUUAGAACCAACCACAGUAUCAGCCUCACAGUAGCAUGUAAUCCAUAUUUAUUAAACUGUACUAAAUCCAACUAACACAAUGAGGCAAAUAACUAGAUAGGAGGAGGGGGAGACACUAAAGAAGUGGGAGGUCCCAAGACAAAGGGUGGUAGCACACCAUUCAUCAAGAAAGGCAAUACAGCAGCAACAGUAAGCAACUUUGGGAAAAGGAUAGUAAAAGUUCAAUAUUUGACAAGGUGAGCAAUCUGUAGGAUAUAAAAGUAGAUUUCCAGUAGACAUUUGGAAAUAAGGACCUAGAGUGGAGAGAAAAGUCCAAAUAUGUGGAUAAUUUUAAAACUCUCUAAGAUCAGAAGACAUUUUGAAAAUAUCAUGAAAAAAACCUCUAAGAAAAAAGCAUGCACAUAGUUUCUUUCAUAGACCUUUUGAAACCCAUCCAUGGUUUCCUCAAGGUUAUUUAUUUCUGAUAUAGGCGUAAAAUGAAAUCCUGAAGACAGAUAACAUCAAUGAAUUGACAGAGAAGAACAAAGACCUGGAAGCCACUCUUCACAUCUGUACUUGUAUACAGAUCUUAUUUCCUUCCACUUGUAAUUUCUCAGUUCCUGUUUUAUUAGCUGUAAAAUGGGAAUGGCAAUUAUCUUCUUUAGAGGUUGUUGCGAAGGUUAAGUGGGAACAUUGUAAACUGUGUGACACAGCAUCUGGAACAUAGGAGGCCUAGCUCUUGGAAGUUCAAGGUUUUACUGGCACUCACCAUGAAUAAGACAACAUUUAUUCUACAGUAGUUAUUUAUGUUCCAUUCUUAUCUCAACUAGAAUGUAAAGCAGGAAACUGAUCUUCAUUUUUUUGUAUCCUUCCAGACCCAAGGCCAGUGCUUUCCAUAUAGCAAGUGCUCCAUAAAUCUCUGUUGAAUGAGGAAACUAAGCACAACUCCCAGUCAUAUCCAGUUUCCUUCUGCUGGUGAGUCACACCAAUUGUGAGUACAGUGUAAUAAACCUUACAGGGAAGAGGAAGGGAUUUGAAGUGGAUGAACAUUUAAAAAGUUGCCAUCCUGUCCAGUUCAUCAAAAUGACUUUGUAAAAGUACUGCAGUGUUCAAUAAGAACACGUUUCAUGUUGAGUUUCUGUUUUUCAUUUGACUUCAGAUAAAGUAUUUUAGUGAUACUCAUAUAGGUCUCAUCUGACAAAACAAGUAAACGCAAAGGAAAAAGAAUGUCAUAUCUCAACAAAGCCAUUCGUUACGAAUAAAUAUGAAGGUUUAUGUGGUUCUGCACCAUCCGAGAAGAGCAUAAUUUAGCUACUGAAUAUUUUCGACGUUUACCUGUACAUUAAUUCUCAGCUACGUGUAUUCACUCCCCCAACCCCAAUUUAAAUAUGUGGGCGUCUGCUUACUAGGGGAAUUCCAGGUUGUGCUUUCAGCUGUUGAGCUUCCUCAAGCCCCCUUAUGCAAAAGAGCUUCACAUUUUUGGUCCACUGCUUGGGAUCCUUCACCUGGUACAGCCUUCGCUCUAGGCUGAGUGAGCAGCCUAGGCAGCCUGACUUAAGGAUGAAUCUGAGCCGCCAGUCCCUAACGAAGCAUCUCCAAGAACCCAGUUGGGGGGAAAGCAUGAGGAGAUGGGUGAGGAGUGGGCAAGAAUCAAAACACCACUUGGCAACAAAGCCCAAGCUCUGCGUUUAGCGAUGUAAAACCUGGAUUGACAGAUCACUGGAGGAUCACUGCCACCAAGGUCCCUCGGAUGCAGGGCUCGCCACAGUCCUCCUGUGCUAGGACUUUCCGCUCCUCCGACCUGGAGGAUCCUCCUUGUCCUCGGACUCCAGGCUUCCGCUUUCGUCUCCCGCUGGGCUGCAGCCCGCCCCCGCCCGCCCUGGGCACAGCUGCGUUACUCACGUCCUUCUUCACUUCAGUGAGG
rnacentral:lncRNA from 10 species